rnacentral:rRNA from 1 species
UUUACAGAGGGAUAGCCCAGAGAAAUUUGGAUUAAUACCUCAUAGUAUAGUGAGUUGGCAUCAACACACUAUUAAAGUCACAACGGUAAAAGAUGAGCAUGCGUCCCAUUAGCUAGUUGGUAAGGUAACGGCUUACCAAGGCAACGAUGGGUAGGGGUCCUGAGAGGGAGAUCCCCCACACUGGUACUGAGACACGGACCAGACUCCUACGGGAGGCAGCAGUGAGGAAUAUUGGUCAAUGGGCGCAAGCCUGAACCAGCCAUGCCGCGUGCAGGAUGACGGUCCUAUGGAUUGUAAACUGCUUUUGCACAGGAAGAAACACUCGGUCGUGACCGAGCUUGACGGUACUGUGAGAAUAAGGAUCGGCUAACUCCGUGCCAGCAGCCGCGGUAAUACGGAGGAUCCAAGCGUUAUCCGGAAUCAUUGGGUUUAAAGGGUCCGUAGGCGGCCAGAUAAGUCAG